rnacentral:rRNA from 1 species
AGCAGCCGCGGUAAUUCCAGCUCCAAUAGCGUAUAUUAAAGUUGUUGCAGUUAAAAAGCUCGUAGUUGAAUUUCGGGGUCAGUAGGUUGGUCGUGCCACUGGUAUGUACUGGCCUCACUGAUUCCUCCUUCUUGUAGAACCGUAAUGCCAUUAAUUUGGUGUUGCGGGGAAACAGGACUGUUACUUUGAAAAAAUUAGAGUGUUUAAAGCAGGCUAACGCUUGAAUACAUUAGCAUGGAAUAAUGAAAUAGGACGUUCGAUCCUAUUUUGUUGGUUUCUAGGAUUGACGUAAUGAUUAAUAGGGAUAGUUGGGGGCAUUAGUAUUCAAUUGUCAGAGGUGAAAUUCUUGGAUUUAUUGAAGACUAACUACUGCGAAAGCAUUUGCCAAGGAUGUUUUCAUUAAUCAAGAACGAAAGUUAGGGGAUCGAAGACGAUCAGAUACCGUCGUAGUCUUAACCAUAAACUAUAGCCGACUAGGGAUCGGAUGAUGUUAAUUUUUAAUGACUCAUUCGGCGCCUUA